rnacentral:rRNA from 1 species
UGGGGAAUAUUGGGCAAUGGGCGCAAGCCUGAUCCAGCAAUGCCGCGUGUGUGAAGAAGGCCUUCGGGUUGUAAAGCACUUUUAUCAGGAGCGAAACGCUGUCGGCUAAUACCCGGCGGAACUGACGGUACCUGAGGAAUAAGCACCGGCUAACUUCGUGCCAGCAGCCGCGGUAAUACGAAGGGUGCAAGCGUUAAUCGGAAUUACUGGGCGUAAAGCGUGCGUAGGCGGUUUCUUAAGUCUGCUGUGAAAUCCCCGGGCUCAACCUGGGAAUGGCAGUGGAUACUGGGAGGCUAGAGUGUGUCAGAGGGUGGUGGAAUUCCCGGUGUAGCGGUGAAAUGCGUAGAGAUCGGGAGGAACAUCAGUGGCGAAGGCGGCCACCUGGGACAACACUGACGCUGAGGCACGAAAGCGUGGGGAGCAAACAGGAUUAGAUACCCUGGUAGUCCACGCCCUAAAGCGAUGCGAACUGGAUGUUGGUCUCAACUCAGAGAUCAGUGUCGAAGCUAACGCGUUAAGUUCGCCGCCUGGGGAGUACGGUCGCAAGACUGAAACUCAAAUGAAUUGAC